UGCCCUACGGGGCGCAGCAGUGAGGAAUAUUGGUCAAUGGGCGGGAGCCUGAGCCAGCCAAGUCGCGUGAGGGAAGACGGUCCUAUGGAUUGUAAACCUCUUUAGGCGGGGAGCAAUGCCGGGCACGCGUGCCCGGAGGGAGAGUACCCGCAGAAUAAGCAUCGGCUAACUCCGUGCCAGCAGCCGCGGUAAUACGGAGGAUGCGAGCGUUAUCCGGAUUUAUUGGGUUUAAAGGGUGCGUAGGCGGACGCUUAAGUCAGCGGUAAAAUUGCGGGGCUCAACCUCGUCGA
rnacentral:rRNA from 1 species